rnacentral:rRNA from 1 species
CCAAGGUAAUGAUUAAUAGGGAUAGUUGGGGGUAUUCAUAUUUAAUUGUCAGAGGUGAAAUUCUUGGAUUUAUGAAAGAUGAACUUAUGCGAAAGCAUUUACCAAGGAUGUUUUCAUUAAUCAAGAACGAAAGUUAGGGGAUCGAAGAGGAUUAGAUACCCUCGUAGUCUUAACCAUAAACUAUGCCGACUCGGGAUUGGAGGGCGUAUAUUAAUGAGCCUUUCAGCACCGUAUGAGAAAUCAAAGUCUUUGGGUUCCGGGGGGAGUAUGGUCGCAAGGCUGAAACUUAAAGGAAUUGACGGAAGGGCACCACCAGGAGUGGAGCCUGCGGCUUAAUUUGACUCAACACGGGGAAACUCACCAGGUCCGGACAUAGUAAGGAUUGACAGAUUGACAGCUCU